GGAGGUCUUGCCUGCCCAGUGAUAAAUUAAACGGCCGCGGUAUUUUGACCGUGCAAAGGUAGCGCAAUCACUUGUCUUUUAAAUGAAGACCCGUAUGAAUGGUGGAACGAGGGCUUAACUGUCUCCCUUUUCAAGUCAAUGAAAUUGAUCUGCCCGUGCAGAAGCGGACAUACAAAUACAAGACGAGAAGACCCUUUGGAGCUUAAGACAUAAGGUCAACUAUGUCAAUACAUCAGAAAUAAGACUAAACUAAAUAGAAUUUGACCCUAGUCUUCGGUUGGGGCGACCACGGAAGAAAACAAAGCUUCCACGUGGACUGGGGCCUUCGGCCCUAAAACCAAGAAAGACAUUUCAAAGUAACAGAAAAUCUGACCAAUAAGAUCCGGCAAUUUUGACCGAUCAACGGACCAAGUUACCCUAGGGAUAACAGCGCAAUCCCCUUUAAGAGUCCAUAUCGACAAGGGGGUUUACGACCUCGAUGUUGGAUCAGGACAUCCUAAUGGUGCAGCCGCUAUUAA
rnacentral:rRNA from 1 species